rnacentral:snoRNA from 1 species
GUGCCUGUGGGAUGAACAGGUCCCAACAUUUACUUCCAUUUUUUCACUUUGUCAGCUAAUAGCCAUACAUUUUAGCUGAUCAUUAAGAAUGGAAAAUGC